rnacentral:rRNA from 1 species
AGAGUUUGAUCCUGGCUCAGGACGAACGCUGGCGGCGUGCCUAACACAUGCAAGUCAAGGAGAAAGUUCCUUUCGGGGAGCGAUUAAACUGGCGAACGGGUGAGUAACGCGUAGGUGAUCUGCCCUAAUCCCAGGCAUAACGUCGAGAAAUCGGCGCUAAUAUCUGAUGAGGUACUUCGGUAUCAAAGGCUUCGGCUGGAUUAGGAUGAGCCUGCGUCUGAUUAGCUUGUUGGUAGGGUAACGGCCUACCAAGGCUGCGAUCAGUARCUGGUCUGAGAGGAUGGUCAGCCACACUGGAACUGAGACACGGUCCAGACUCCUACGGGAGGCAGCAGUGRGGAAUAUUGGUCAAUGGGGGAAACCCUGAACCAGCGACGCCGCGUGAGGGACGAAAGAGCUUUGCUCUGUARACCUCUGUCGGAAGGGAAGAAAAGUCUGUUCAGCAGACUGGGACUGUACCUUCAAAGGAAGGAUCGGCUAACUACGUGCCAGCAGCCGCGGUAAUACGUAGGAUCCAAGCGUUGUCCGGAAUUACUGGGUGUAAAGGGUGCGCAGGCGGACUUGUGCGUCAGAGGUUAAAUGUCACCGCUCAACGGUGAACCUGCCUUUGAUACGGCGAGUCUUGAGUAUGAGAGAGGUAGGUAGAAUUCCUGGUGUAGCGGUGAAAUGCGUAGAUAUCAGGAGGAAUACCAGUGGCGAAGGCGGCCUACUGGCUCAUAACUGACGCUCAUGCACGAAAGCGUGGGUAGCGAACAGGAUUAGAUACCCUGGUAGUCC